rnacentral:rRNA from 1 species
GUGGGGAAUAUUGCACAAUGGGCGAAAGCCUGAUGCAGCAACGCCGCGUGGGGGAUGACGGCCUUCGGGUUGUAAACCUCUUUUGGCAGGGAAGAAGCCUUUGGGUGACGGUACCUGCAGAAAAAGCACCGGCUAACUACGUGCCAGCAGCCGCGGUAAUACGUAGGGUGCGAGCGUUGUCCGGAAUUAUUGGGCGUAAAGAGCUCGUAGGCGGUUUGUCGCGUCUGCUGUGAAAUCCCGAGGCUCAACCUCGGGCCUGCAGUGGGUACGGGCAGACUAGAGUGCGGUAGGGGAGAUUGGAAUUCCUGGUGUAGCGGUGGAAUGCGCAGAUAUCAGGAGGAACACCGAUGGCGAAGGCAGAUCUCUGGGCCGCUACUGACGCUGAGGAGCGAAAGGGUGGGGAGCGAACAGGCUUAGAAACCCCUGUAGUCC